CCUACGGGUGGCAGCAGUGGGGAAUAUUGCACAAUGGGGGAAACCCUGAUGCAGCGACGCCGCGUGAGUGAAGAAGUAUUUCGGUAUGUAAAGCUCUAUCAGCAGGGAAGAAGAAACACGGUACCUGACUCAGAAGCAUCGGCUAAAUACGUGACAGCAGCCGCGGUAAUACGUAGGGGGCAAGCGGUAUCCGGGUUUACUGGGGGUAAGGGGAGCGUAGACGGCUGUGCAAGUCUGAAGUGAAAGCCCAGGGCUCAACCCUGGGACUGCUUUGGAAACUGUGGAGCUAGAGUGCUGGAGAGGUAAGUGGAAUUCCUAGUGUAGCGGUGAAAUGCGUAGAUAUUAGGAGGAACACCAGUGGCGAAGGCGGCUUACUGGACAGUAACUGACGUUGAGGCUCGAAAGCGUGGGGAGCAAACAGGAUUAGAUACCCCGGUAGUC
rnacentral:rRNA from 1 species